ensembl:snRNA U6 U6 spliceosomal RNA
AUGCUCACUUCAGCAGCACACAUACCAGAAUUGGAACGAUACAGAGAAGGUCAGCAUGGCCCCUGUGCAAGGAUAACAUGCAAAUUCAUGAAGCAUUCCAUAUUUCU